UGAGGUUUUUCUUUGCAAACACUGCAGAAUGAGCUGGAUGGAGGGGAGGAUGCUGCCCUAGCCAUGGAUUAUUUUGCAGCUUCCUAAAGGCUUUCAAAGAACACUAUUGCUGCCAGCCCCAGCCCCUGCAGCCCUGCCUGGGAGUCCUGAUGCCUGUCCAUGAAGAUCUGCUCAUUCAUCUGCUGCCUCUUGAGGAGCCUGACCUCAGGUCUUGGAGGAUGCUCUCCUGGGGAAAAGAAGCAGCAGUCCUUUAUGAAUUGUUCUGCCUCCAGUGAACAAACUAUAAGCUGCAUACUCUCAGGGAAGCAGAGCAGCUCCCUGUGCACCCAUACCACACCUCAGAGGACACCAGGAGCUGAGCCUGUGCUGAGCCCACCACCACAAGACUGAUGCCGUGUGCACUCAUGUCCCCAGCGAGCUGGCUGAAGCGCUCUGAGGAGGAGAAAGCUUUCAGAGAGCUAUCUAAAGAUUUUGUCUUCUUCCACUGUCUCUCAUCUGGAAACAUUAAGCUACACAGAAUAGAAAAGAGGCAAAGAGUGAUUGAUUUAUGUAUUUGGCUCAUUUAUGGUAUAGGAUUCCCUGGGCAGUUGCCCAAGAUUUUUUAGGGAUGCUUUCCAUAGGGUGCAAAAGCUCUUGAUCCCCAGAUAUAAGGAAUCAGGAAAGGAAGGCAAGAGACCUGCUGGGUUGGGAUUAAAGGGCAGGAUGGAAAUGCACAGGCAAAGGAAGCAGGGACAGGUGACCUGGGAAGAGUCCAGAGACACAGUCCAUUUGUGUAGAGAUGGAGCCAGGAAGGCCAGGGCAUGGAUGGAGCUGAACCUGGCAAGGCAUGCAAGGAAUGACAGGGAAGGAUUCCACAGGUGUCUUUCAGAAAAAAGAGAGUGUCAAAAAGAGCAACUUCCCACCUCUCCCAAAAUGAACAACACAGGUAACAAGAUAUGAGGAGAAGAAUGAGGUACUCAAAUAUAUUUUGCUCAGUCAAAUAUGUUUUUCUCAAGCCACCUCUCUUCCUGGGGUGGAAGGCAGGGGCAGAUCAGGGGAAGGGAGAGAUGUGUCCCAGACUGGGAAUUGAGAUGCCAGGAAUCUCAACAUCCAGAAAAUAACUGCUGUAGGGCUUGAGUGGCUUUUGCUUUUUCAUAGAGACAGAGGGUAGAGGCCUGGGCAGGAGAGAUGGAAUCACUGAUCCAGGAUGUGGAAAGCUUUUAGCAGCUGUGACCAUCCUUGAAUAAACUGUGCCAUGUGCAUUCAUUUCUCCUAAAAACCCUCCUCUUAGAAGAGGAUGCUUUCUCCUAGGAAAGACCUUUCCUGGGGAACAAGCACCAGUGAGUGUU